GAUGAACGCUGGCGGCGUGCUUAACACAUGCAAGUCGAACGGAAAGGCCCAAGCUUGCUUGGGUACUCGAGUGGCGAACGGGUGAGUAACACGUGGGUGAUCUGCCCUGCACUUCGGGAUAAGCCUGGGAAACUGGGUCUGAUACCGGAUAGGACCACAUUUUGGAUGGUGUGGUGGAAAGUUUUUCGGUGUGGGAUGAGCUCGCGGCCUAUCAGCUUGUUGGUGGGGUAAUGGCCUACCAAGGCGUCGACGGGUAGCCGGCCUGAGAGGGUGUACGGCCACAUUGGGACUGAGAUACGGCCCAGACUCCUACGGGAGGCAGCAGUGGGGAAUAUUGCACAAUGGGCGCAAGCCUGAUGCAGCGACGCCGCGUGGGGGAUGACGGCCUUCGGGUUGUAAACUCCUUUCGCUAGGGACGAAGCGCAAGUGACGGUACCUGGAGAAGAAGCACCGGCUAACUACGUG
rnacentral:rRNA from 1 species